CAAUAGCGUAUAUUAAAGUUGUUGCGGUUAAAAAGCUCGUAGUUGGAUUUCUGCUGAGAACGACCGGUCCGCCCUUUGGGUGUGUAUCUGGCUCUUUCUUGGCAUCUUCUAGGUGAACGUUGCUGCACUUGACUGUGUGGAGCGCUACCCAGGACUUUUACUUUGAGGAAAUUAGAGUGUUUCAAGCAGGCAUACGCCUUGAAUACAUUAGCAUGGAAUAAUAAGAUAGGACCUCGGUUCUAUUUUGUUGGUUUCUAGAGCUGAGGUAAUGAUUAAUAGGGAUAGUUGGGGGCAUUCGUAUUUAACUGUCAGAGGUGAAAUUCUUGGAUUUGUUAAAGACGGACUACUGCGAAANCANNNGCCAAGGAUGUUUUCAUNGA
rnacentral:rRNA from 1 species